GACAUUUCCACUUUUGUCUUUUGGCCCAGAUGUUAACAUUUUCUGGGCUCCCAAAAAAUUUACAGACAUUUUUCCUAGGUCAGAGUAAAAGGGAUCCCCUUUGUUCUGGAUCUUCUGUUGCCUUGAUCAUCAGAUCAAGUUGAGGAAAUGGUCCCUUGGGGAGCUAAUCCCAGUGGCUUGGUAAACUUACACCCUUUCUUUUGAUGUCAGGCCUUUUAAAACAUCAGGGCCACUUUCCUUUACUUGUCCAGGAUGGAAACAUUUGGCAGCACUUUUUGCAAUAUCCUUCCAUUCAACAGCCACAUGCCCCAGCUGAGGGCUUGGCACCAUGGAAAAGCAAUGAAGAUUCAAGAACGAACCAGCUUGGGAGACGAGUAGAUAAGCCGAUCAUGUCAAGGUAUGCUGCAGACUGGGACACAGUCUGUCCAAAUUAAACCUCAGGAAGG
rnacentral:lncRNA from 1 species